ensembl:lncRNA
UUUGGUUCUGGAGCCAUUGGCCUUGCCCAAGAUGUGUUCUUGGCUGCUCCUGUCCCUGUCAGGCCCUCUCUGUUUUUACCCUGUUCUUAAGAGUAUGUGGCUCACAUGGAAACACACAGUAUCCUAAUAGUUUGUUUUUUGUUGCUGUGAGAAAACACUGAUGAAAAGCAGCUUGAGGAGGAAAAUGGUUUAUUCCGUGAUGGGGAAAUCCUUGUGUGUAUAUGUUUAUCUUAUUGGUUGAUAAAUAAAGCAUUGUUGGCCAAUAGGGGAGCAAGUUAGGUGGGACUAGGAGUUGAGGAGGAUUCUGGGAAAUGUAGUAGAGACAGCAGCCACCACGUGAUCACCAGGAAGACAGGAUAUAUUCCACCAGCGUGCUCAAUAAGAUAAGUUUAUAAAAUAUAUAGAUUAAUAGUUAUGGGUGAUACUUAAGACAGAGUUAGCAAAUAAAUCUUUGUCAUUGGCCAGAGGCACUGUACCUAAUAUAAGACUCAGUGUGUUAUUCUGGACGCCCACGUGGCGGCGGGGCUCGGGUGACGUAGCAGAAAGAUUUAUCAUUACCAAAUGGUGUCAGGACAUGGUUUUAUGAACUUCCACAUAAAAACUUCACAAAAACUUAAAAAGGGAAUUUAGAAGCAAAGGAACAGAGACAAGCACUACUUCUUGGUAGUGGUAUUUUCUCGGGUAGUCUCUGUUUUGCUAGAGACAAGCAGAUACUCAAGUGGCUCCUUUAAGAGAGGCUUCCUGACUCAGCAUAAUUGGAAAAAAAAGAAAACAAAAACAAAAAACCACAGGGCUCUUGCUAACAAUUGAAUGGUAUGUAUGAGCAGCUGGCAGUGGCAGCAACCACAUCUCCAAGCCGAAAGCGUGUUCCUUGAUGACAGCAUAGACCAAGGCAGUGAGCAUAGCUCUCAGUGCUGGCGGUAAACAUACCUUCGCCAUCUUGGAAAGACAUCCACUAAAGCAGCCACUGCUUUAAUUUUAGCAAUGCUGUUUAGCAGAUAAAAGAUCGUGUAGCCAGAAAAAGGUAAAGAUUUACAGUAAAGACAGAUUCAGAUGAAGAAAAACUCCUAAAGGUUUACAGUGUAUUUAAAAAUAUAUGUAGGCUUGUGAGAGAAAAGAACAGGAUAAAGUAAUUGAGAGAGAGAGAGAGAGAGAGAGAGAAGAGAGAGAGAGAGAGAAAGAGAAGCCAGUGGUGGUGGCACACGCCAGUAGGAUUUGCUGAAGGAAGCAGAGGCAGGCGGAUUUCCACGGAGAAACCUUGUCUCAGGGGGGGGAAAAAAAGGAAGUAAAAGAAAUAGAAUAUUAAAAAGCCAGGUAAAGAUGGAAAAUACUCACAGAGUCUGGAUACUAUAUGUUAUACUGUUGUCUUUAAAUUGUUUGAUUGCCGAGGAAAGAGCUACAGCUGAUAAAACACAUUUGAUUAUAAGUGCUACUCAAUUAGUCCAACUUAUAUAUUUUUAAAAUGCUUUGACUUCUAAAUUUAAAUAUAAGGACAGGUUACUUGGGAGAAGAAUUUCUACUUACGUUUCCACAUAAAAUGGAAAGCUGUGGAUUCCUUCCAGACUAAUUUGGUUUGAUCAAGCAAGACCCCCUGAAGCAGUGGCCCAACCGAUCCUACAUCCAAAACAGCUGAGACGAUGCAGCCUUGCAGACUACAAAAACAAGGAACUGGCCUGAUUUCUGUGUUUUAUCAUGAUCCCCCAUGGUGUGGACAUCACCCCCAACCAGCAGGAAGCAGUUUGGAACGAACGAUGCCCAAGUUCCCAAAUAUUGUUUAUAAAUGUUUGUUUUCAUUUAAAUAGGGUUGGUUAUAAAUGGUAAUGAUCACAGUCAAUCUCUUUUUAAAGGAAAAAAGGGGAAUAGAAUAUAGAAAUGAAUACAUUGGUAUGGAUUUUCAUUUAUUGAUACAAAUUUAAGGUUAAUUUUGUUAUAUGUAAAUUUCUCCUCUUGUUUGGUAUUGUGUUUAUACAGAUCUUUUAAAAUGUAAUGUAUAAUUAAAUGCAAAUUAUAUAGUCACCUAUAAUAGUCAGAACUUAUAAUUAGGUUAGUUAGGUUUUCUAGCUAUAGAGAGAUGUGUUUGAGAUGGAUAGACAAAGACCUACAGAAUAUAUGGCAUUUAAAUGGUUUAGGGUUUUUCAUGGCAGUGAGACACAACUGCUCCUGGCACACCAAUUACAUCUGAGAGGAAGAUGGGCAUUGAAGAAACUCAUUAUGGAGUUUGCUUUCAAUGUGGCAAGAUUAGCCAUUUGGGCAAGAAACUGCUCUUGUCUGGACUGUUUGAUAAACUGGACAUGCAGGACCCACAGGAAAGUGACUGCUGAACUUAGAAAACAAGAUGGAAAGUUGUGAAGAGUCCCUGCUUCAAGGAAGCAUCUGCCAGACAUUCUGCAGGACACAGAGGAAAUUGGCUGACAAACUGCCAAUACAGGUGGACAGUUUAAAAUUUCCUGCUUCACUGAGAAGUCUGCCAGACAUACUGUGGCCUAUAGACUGAAGACAGGAUAAAUUCCAUCAGUGUGCCCCAACGUUACAAAGGAACUUCGGGUCACUGUCCAGGCAGCGAGAUAUCUCUGUCAGUUCUAGAGUUUAUUUAUUAUCCUUCUGUGGUCUUUGUUGGAGUUGAAGACAGAUAGUUAUGGUUAUAGUUUUCUUUAGUUAUUAUAAAAGAUAAGCUACAUAUAAGACUUUAGACUCACAAAGAUGGGAUAGAUGAUAGAAUAUUUUCUUUAAAUCUUGCUAAAUGUUAAUGGACUAAAUAUUGUAACUAUAGUUCUUACUUGAUAACUGUUUUGUUAUAUAUUUUACUAUGUUAAUGUUAACACCCUUCUUUUUACUUAGACAGAAAAGAGAAAAUUAUGGGGGAGGUCCUUGUGUGUAUAUGUUUGUCUUAUUGGUUGAUAAAUAAAGCACUGUUGGCCAAUAGGAGAGCAAGUUAGGUGGGACUAGGAGUUGAGGAGGAUUCUGGGAAAUGUAGUAGAGACAGCAGCCACCAUGUGAUCACCAGGAAGACAGGAUAUAUUCCACCAGUGUGCUCAAUAAAAUAAGUUUAUAAAAUAUAUAGAUUAAUAGUUAUGGGUGAUACUUAAGACAGAGCUAGCAAAUAGGAAAUCUUAGUCAUUGGCCAGUAGCAUUGUACCUAAUACAAGACUCUGUGUGUUAUUUUGGACACCCACAUGGCGGCAGGGCUUGGGCAGCUUGGCAGAAAGAUUUAUCAUUACAAUUCCGUCUUACAGCAUACUGUCCAUCAUCCAGGGAAGCUAAGGCAAACCCAGAGGCAAGAACAGAAGCAGAGGCCAUGGAGGAUAAUGCUCACUGGCUGCCUCAGCUUGUUCACUUAUACAAGCCAGGGCCACCUGCCAGGGGUCACACUAUCCACAUCAAUCAUUAAUCAAGAAAAUGCCCCCCUCAGACUUGCUCACUGGCCAAUCUGAUGGAGGCAACCCCUCAAGGAAGGGGUCCACUUUCCCAGGCAUCAGGUUGAAAAAACCAACCAGCACACACAGGCUAUCAAAUGCAUGGCUAAUUCUACAUGAGAAGUCCACCAACUAUAUGUUAAGAGUUGUCUUUGUCAUGGUCUGUGGUUUAGAGCACUUAAUUGCUCUUGCAGAGGGCCCAAGUUCGAGUCCCAGCACCCACAUGGUGGCUCAAAACUGUCUGCAACUCCAGUUCCAAGGGAUCCAGUGCCCUCCCCUGACCUCUGUGAGCAGCAGGUAUUUGGAGAUGGAGCCUCUGGAAGUGAUUAGAUGAAGUCAUGAGGGCGGGAAGUGCCUAGGCACUCUUCUAAGAAGAGCAUUAACCAGG